AGCCAGUGCUUGCAGCAGGGUUUCAUGGUCUCUCUCAGACCUCUCACGAGCAUGUUCAAGGAGACUGGUGCGAAGCAUAUGCAUUCCUCGAUUUGCGUCAACUUCUGCGAUACGGUGUAGAGAUGUCAUGCCCUGAAUUUCGUUUCGGGCAACUCUACGGAUCAGAAUUGGUAGAACUCUGUCUGCUGAGCUCCCUUCACUUACAUUGUAGAAACUUUGGCCUCCAUUAAACGGAAUAGGUUGAUUUUGAUCUUCGCUCCAUGUUUCCAGACAUUCCACCCAUGGCGGCGUCGAGCCAUGAAAAGCUGGACGAGGGUUAGGAAUUGGAAAGGGAGCUGCCUGGGUAGGUUCUCAACCUCAGGUUCGGAGAUAGCACCGUUUGAAAGGUUUUCAGCAUGGUGAUCAUUCAGAGGGAUCGGAUGAUCAUUAUCUGGUUCUUCUCCAAACCAUCCAGCAAUAACCUCGUUCGGAAGGAACAGGUUGCCGUGGGGAUGGAAUCCAGCCAUGUUAUCUACGCGAGAAUUUGGGGUAAGAAAAUAAUUAUUAGACGAACUAUCUAGAUAAUUAUUUUGGAAAUCUUCAUUAGUUACAUCGCUAUUUGUAAAGUGCAUACCAGUUAUAUGUAAUCAACAACGGAUACGCCUUCGAAUAAGUGACCUGAACUCUAAAUUCACAAGGAAUAGGGGUAAAGCAAAAAUUUCACCGNNNNNNNNNNNNNNNNNNNNNNNNNNNNNNNNNNNNNNNNNNNNNNNNNNNNNNNNNNNNNNNNNNNNNNNNNNNNNNNNNNNNNNNNNNNNNNNNNNNNGUUUGUCUCUUGGCUUAAUGAAGGUAUUUAGGGCAUUUUGGCACCGUAAUAUGGAGUUCACANAACUGCUAUGUUUGUCUCUUGGCUUAAUGAAGGUAUUUAGGGCAUUUUGGCACCGUAAUAUGGAGUUCACAGCCCAAGAACUUCCUUGGCUGUGAACUCACUUUCAACCCUUGAUUCUCAAUGUUUUGGAUGUCUAAACAAGCCAUGGGUAGUCUCUAGGUUUAGUUUUAAAGUUUGGAGGGACAUUGGGCACACUUUUGGCCUUAAAUUUAGUGUUCACGGUCCAAGAAGAUUCUUGGGCCGUGAACACCAUUUCCUUGGUGUUUUGAAGUUGUUUUCUAUCCCUAAACUCAUUAGUGUACAAGUCCAAACUAGUUUCAUGGCUUAAGGAAGGAGUAGGCACCAUUUGGCCCUUAAAAAGGAGUUUACUCCCCAAGGUGUUCUUGGGCAGUAAACUCACAAAUCUUGUUGUUUUGUCGUGAUUUUGAUGUUAUUAAGCACAAUCUAAGCUAUAUAAUACAACUAAAGAGAGGUACUCACGAUUUGGGAUAAAAACCCGAAGAUCCGUGAGAGAGAAUUUGGCUUUUCUCUAGUUGGAAAUGUAACUAAUGAAUGAAUAUGGUUCAGAUUUCUAUAUAUAGUCUUGGGAUUUUUGGCAGAAAAUAUUUUAUUCUCGAAAUGAACUCUAAUAUCAUAGAGUUUUGGAAUAACAGUGUUGCACAAAACCCUAGUGCAUCUACUCUCCUGAUAUUCCCUUAAGUGUAAAUCCCGAAAUACUCAAACUUAUACCCAAAAGUCUGGAAUUUCACUGUAACUGUUCUAACUUCUAUUGACUUGAUAUGGUUUGUUCAGAAUGGGAAUUUCAGGUUGUCACAUCAUCCCCCUGUUAAAGGGAAUUUCGUCCGAAAAUUAGAAUCUAUGUAAGGAAGUAGGUAGAAGUGAUCGAGUCGUUAGGUGAACUUCCUAAUCGAUUGGUUCUCGCGCUCCCAAGUGAAAUCGGGUCCUCGGUUGGUAUUCCAACAAACCUUCAAUAACGGAAGACGGUGUUGCUUCAUCCGCUUGACCACUCGGUCGAGGGUCACUAGGGUUCUAAUACGAAGGCGAGGAUCUCGUUAAUCUCGAUCUCGUCGAGAGGGCUUAUGAGAGUCCUAACGGAAAGGUACUGUUUAAAAAUCGAGACGCGAAGGGUAACAUGUAUGUUACUGGGUUCGUGGAGUAGGUCUAGUUUGUGAGAUACAAGACCGAUUCUGGUAAGAAUCUCGGAGGUCCUAACUAUAUUGGAUUUAGCUUUCCACGCUUUACGAAGCGUAUUAAGCCAUUCCCAGAGUGAGGUUUCUUAAAGAAUUUGGUCUCUCACUUGGAAUUCCAAAGGUUCUUUCUAUUGCUUAACUUCCCAGUCAAGGGCCACCCCUUGCUGGGUCAAAUUCGAAAGGGUUUCUGUAAUUUGCGAGGUGCUCUGAAUGGACUACGAUAGUAGGUCCGUAAGACCUAGAAUUUGGCGGAUUUUCCGUCGGUGACUAUGGUGCCGACAAAUUCCCAACAGUUUUGGAUAAUUUUCCAGAGUAAUCCAGAAUUUCCACAUCACUAAUAGUGUGUCUCAGGAAAUUUGACUCUUUAAAUCCAAAACUCAUGUUCAGAAAACUUUGCGAAAAGUAUCUCCGAGGGUAAUGUUUCCAUGGGUUCCUUCUUACUACGAGGGUAGAUAAGUAAGUCAUUACAUGGAGAAAUGACGAACUGAUCCCAGUAAGAAAGACGUACCCUACUCAUUUAGCUCAUGAAUACUAUGGGCGUAUUGGUCCUAUCCGAGGGGUAUCACUACGGACUCGAAGUGUCUGCAUCGAGUUCUGAGGGUAGUCUUCAGGACAUCCUUCCCUAACACUCGAACUAGUGAUAUUCGGAUCUCAGGUCCAUUUCUGAAAGUAAAUCUAUCCCUGUGUUUGCUCAAUCAACUCGUCUAUGCGAGGCAGAGACAACGAUUUCUAAAGGAAAUAUUAAUGAAGUCCCCGAUCGUCGGGGUACAUAUGAUGCACUCCGUCGACUUUUGGAAGAAUAAGACCAGAGUUCUCAAGGGUGAGAAGCCUAGUCUUCCAAUUCUAUUGUUGAGUAGUUUGCUGAGUUUUCCGGGUUGUUCUUGUAUCUCCGUAGGUGUUUAGACUGUAAGGCGAUCUGGUUAUAAGAUUCAUACUAGCAAUUACUCGUAGUCGUGGGCAGUCCCCGUCCUGAAGUUCAUAUUAGAAUUCAUACAUGGUUCAACGAUCACAAUCUCGUGUAUACGAGUCGUAUAUAAUUAAGAUUGAAAAGGUAGUCGAAUAACUGAUUCUUCUUUAAGCUCACAGCCCAACGAGGAAAAGGAAGUUAAAGUGGAAUCAUCAAUUCUAAACUUGUAGAGCCUUGAUUAUAUAAUACUCUCAUGUAUACAUACUUCAGUGAUAGCUCGACCGUAUGAAUCUUUAGAUUGAACAUGACGUACUGUACGAGUGAUACUGUGGGGAUUCCUUCGGAAAGGAAAAUAACUAUAAGGUAUUCCAUGCAUGAUACUUCGGUGUUCUGAUAUGACGGCUUCGCUAAAAGACGAUUACUGAGAAAGAGAUGUACGUAUGAAGCUGGUAUUGCGAGGAUCGAAUUUAGUCGAGUCAUAUGAUAAAGUCGGAAUCAUAUGGAAACUUAAAGACAUUAGAUUUGAACAUAAGGCAUUACAGACAAAACACAACAGUGCAACCUUUAAUAGACUUACUGUACUUAAUAUUUACUACAAGACUAUUACUGCGAACAAGGUAUACUACAAAAGACAAGUAUACGCAGCACGAGCAUCCCUAAACGGACGGGAUCUCGCAAAAGUUAAGACUCUGGUUGCACUAGUUUUGGAUAGUUUAUAAGUUUGUUACAAUGACACGCCUAAAUUACAUUAACGUGGCGGCGGUCGGUAGCAUACUUCCGUCUGUGCCAGCAUUUGCUGCCUCUGGGAAGUUCCUUCUGUAGUGACCUACCUUGCCAUAACCGUAGCAAGCCUGGUUCACACCGGUGCUGGGCACUUGGUUGAUCGGCCUUGUUAGGCUCUUGCAGUAACGUCUGGGGUGCCCCUUUCUGUUGCAGUUUGAGCACAGCAUCUCCCCACAAGGUCCAUGGUGGUGAAAACUGCAUUGAACGCAUUUUGGGAGAUUGCCAGCAUAUUGCUUGAUUGGUUUAGGGACAAUUGGGAUGCCCGAAGGGAUGGUAGUAGGAGGUACCGAUGUCGUGGCUGUGAAGAUUGUUACUGGUGGUUGUUUCCUGCUCGCCCUUCGAAGCGAUUUGUCCUUCGACUUAGCCCAAGUCUUCCAUUUGUUACACUUGGUCUUGGGACUCGGGGUAUCGUGAUAGUUUGUUGCUCGUUGAGGUGCUUGAUUGUUACCCGGAUUGGAAUUGCUGUUAACAAUCCCGCUAACAUUUGCGUUGUUAGCGUUUAGGUGGGUCAGAAUAGCUGACACGGUAGCCGAGACUGCAACUUGAAAGGUAGUUGCAUCAAUCUGAAGAGUUGGUGUUUGGUUAAGGGUUUGAUCGAUUUUCUUUGGCGACACGAUUCUGUUACACGGAAAGAGAAAUGAAUUUUGUGAGCGAGAAUGGUUGAACCUAGACGUAGUUCGAUCGCUUAUGUAAAGAAUAGAAGUAUGUUCUCUAAGGUUCGACCUACAUCCCUAUGAUACAGACCUAGAACGUAAUGGGAGUAUGUUCACGAAGGUUUGGCCUACAUCCCUAUGAUGUAGUCCUAGCAAAGAUUGGGAGUAAGUUCGUACAAUGGUCUCAAGAUGUUUGUCGUUCGAGCCAAGGUAUUGUUGGUUGGUGAAUAACAUGAUCCAACCAUUAAAAGAGACUUGGAGAUGUCUCUGGAGUCACAUUGCUAUAGUCCAAUGACUUGACUAGAGCAUGUUUCAAAUAGACACUAAUGAAAGUAUGAUAAGAGUAUUUGAAUAACGAAUGACACAAAAGUUAGCCGACUGUCAAUAUCUUUGAUAUUCGUGAUGUACAAGUUCGGGAAAAUGACCUCGUAAAAAGGUCUCACAUCAUAUCCAGAGAAGAUAGUUCAUGACAGUAUAAAGACCUAACUAAAGUACUUACAGUACAAGAUAGUUUCAUAGAAAAUGCCACAUCGGGCAUAGACAGAAACACGAUUCCUUUCUAACAAGGAAUAUAAAGUAAAGUAUCUACUACUAACGAUGGUCAUCCCUAUGGUGAACUCUCAGUUCAGCCAGUUGGCGUCCCACAUCAAGUAGGUGUCUUUCGUACACACUCUGGCGUACUCGAAGUUCUAUGACUUCGGCCCGUGAUUCAGCCAGUGCUUGCAGCAGGGUUUCAUGGUCUCUCUCAGACCUCUCACGAGCAUGUUCAAGGCGACUGGUGCGAAGCAUAUGCAUUCCUCCAUUUGUGUCAACUUCUGUGAUACGCUGUAGAGAUGUCAUGCCCUGAAUUUCGUUUCGGGCAACUCUACGGAUCAGAAUUGGUAGAACUCUGUCUGCUGAGCUCCCUUCACUUACAUUGUAGAAACUUUGGUCUCCAUUAAACGGCAUAGGUUGAUCUUGAUCUUCGCUCCAUGUUUCCAGAC
rnacentral:lncRNA from 1 species